CCUACGGGAGGCAGCAGUGGGGAAUUUUGGACAAUGGGCGCAAGCCUGAUCCAGCAAUGCCGCGUGAGUGAAGAAGGCCUUCGGGUUGUAAAGCUCUUUUGUCAGGGAAGAAACGGUGGGGGCUAAUAUCUCCUACUAAUGACGGUACCUGAAGAAUAAGCACCGGCUAACUACGUGCCAGCAGCCGCGGUAAUACGUAGGGUGCAAGCGUUAAUCGGAAUUACUGGGCGUAAAGCGUGCGCAGGCGGUUUUGUAAGUCUGUCGUGAAAGCCCCGGGCUCAACCUGGGAAUUGCGAUGGAGACUGCAAGGCUUGAAUCUGGCAGAGGGGGGUAGAAUUCCACGUGUAGCAGUGAAAUGCGUAGAGAUGUGGAGGAACACCGAUGGCGAAGGCAGCCCCCUGGGUCAAGAUUGACGCUCAUGCACGAAAGCGUGGGGAGCAAACAGGAUUAGAUACCCUGGUAGUCCACGCCCUAAACGAUGUCUACUAGUUNUCGGGUUUUAAUUAACUUGGUAACGCAGCUAACGCGUGAAGUAGACCGCCUGGGGAGUACGGUCGCAAGNUUAAAACUUNAAAUGAAUUGACGGNUUGAGCGNGCGAGNGACACGAGGAGAG
rnacentral:rRNA from 1 species